UACAGGGGGGGGCAAGCGUUGUUCGGAAUUACUGGGCGUAAAGGGCUCGUAGGCGGCCAACUAAGUCACACGUGAAAUCCCCAGGCUUAACCUGGGAACUGCGUGUGAUACUGGAUGGCUUGAAUCCGGGAGAGGGAUGCGGAAUUCCAGGUGUAGCGGUGAAAUGCGUAGAUAUCUGGAGGAAUACCGGUGGCGAAGGCGGCAUCCUGGACCGGCAUUGACGCUGAGGAGCGAAAGCUAGGGGAGCAAACGGG
rnacentral:rRNA from 1 species